CCAGACUCCUACGGAGGCAGCAGUGGGGAAUAUUGCACAAUGGGCGGAAGCCUGAUGCAGCAACGCCGCGUGCGGGAUGACGGCCUUCGGGUUGUAAACCGCUUUCGCCUGUGACGAAGCGUGAGUGACGGUAAUGGGUAAAGAAGCACCGGCUAACUACGUGCCAGCAGCCGCGGUGAUACGUAGGGUGCGAGCGUUGUCCGGAUUUAUUGGGCGUAAAGGGCUCGUAGGUGGUUGAUCGCGUCGGAAGUGUAAUCUUGGGGCUUAACCCUGAGCGUGCUUUCGAUACGGGUUGACUUGAGGAAGGUAGGGGAGAAUGGAAUUCCUGGUGGAGCGGUGGAAUGCGCAGAUAUCAGGAGGAACACCAGUGGCGAAGGCGGUUCUCUGGGCCUUUCCUGACGCUGAGGAGCGAAAGCGUGGGGAGCGAACAGGCUUAGAUACCCUGGUAGUCCACGCUGUAAACGGUGGGUACUAGGUGUGGGGUCCAUUCCACGGGUUCCGUGCCGUAGCUAACGCUUUAAGUACCCCGCCUGGGGAGUACGGCCGCAAGGCUAAAACUCAAAGGAAUUGACGGGGGCCCGCACAAGAGGGC
rnacentral:rRNA from 1 species